rnacentral:rRNA from 1 species
AGAGUUGAUCCUGGCUCAGAAUCAACGCUGGCGGCGUGCCUAACACAUGCAAGUCGAACGAGGGAGUGGAGCAAUCCAUGAGUAGGGUGGCGACCGGGUGAGUAACACGUGACUAACCUACCUUCGAGUGGGGGAUAACCUCGGGAAACCGGGGCUAAUACCGCAUAAUAUCUUUGGAUCGGAAGAACUGAAGAUCAAAGGAGCAAUUCGCUUGAAGAGGGGUCGCGGCUGAUUAGCUAGUUGGCGGGGUAAUGGCCCACCAAGGCUUUGAUCGGUAGCCGGCCCGAGAGGGCACACGGCCACACUGGCACUGGAACACGGGCCAGACUCCUACGGGAGGCAGCAGUGGAGAAUCUUGCACAAUGGGGGCAACCCUGAUGCAGCGACGCCGCGUGAGCGAUGAAGCCCUUCGGGGUGUAAAGCUCUUUCGGCAGGGAAGAUUAUGACGGUACCUGCAGAAGCAGCUGCGGCUAACUACGUGCCAGCAGCCGCGGUAAUACGUAGGCAGCGAGCGUUGUUCGGAGUUACUGGGCGUAAAGGGUGUGUAGGCGGUUGUUUAAGUUUGGUGUGAAAUCUCCCGGCUCAACUGGGAGGGUGCGCCGAAUACUGAAUGACUUCGAGUGCGGGAGAGGUGAGUGGAAUUCCUGGUGUAGCGGUGAAAUGCGUAGAUAUGCAGAGGAACACCGAUGGCGAGGGCAAUCCCCUGGGCCUGCACUGACGCUCAUGCACGAAAGCGUGGGGAGCAAACAGGAUUAGAUACCCUGGUAG